ACGCUCGACACCUACUGGAGGCAGCAGUGGGGAAUAUUGCACAAUGGGGGAAACCCUGAUGCAGCGACGCCGCGUGGAGGAAGAAGGUCUUCGGAUUGUAAACUCCUGUUGUUGGGGAAAAAGNGGAUGGUACCCAACAAGGAAGUGACGGCUAACUACGUGCCAACAGCCGCCGGUAAUCUGAGCGGGCUGGCGAAGGC
rnacentral:rRNA from 1 species